CUUUACUUUGACCACACAUACACUAAAAUUUCAGUGGUACAGAGGUAAUCAGCAAGCCCCUUGCACAAGGAUGACAAGUAAAUUUGUGAAGCAUUCUUAUUAAAA